AAAAAUCAGACAAUCACAAGACACCCAGGAGCAUCAGUUAUACCCAAUAGCCUAACGCAAACAACAUUUUUGUUACAACAGCAUUUUAUAUGUAUAGUGUUUAUUUAGAGAUUUUUCUGUCUUGUUGUUGUUACAUACAUUGUCGUAUGUAUACUUAUUUAAAUCUUGAAUGUGUUGUCGUGUCACAUGGUUCCGUCUCACCUGUCUUCAGUUAGUUCUAUAAUUAGGGCUAUGCUUUCUCACUGGUAAUCGCUCUGACUAAGGGAUCUUUUCCCGAAAUGUCGGUUGAAUAAACACAGCAAGGAGGAACUUGGGUGUGUGACUUUCAGAUUUUUCAUUGAACGCAAACAAGGCAAAUACAGUUCGUGAAUGGGAGUGGACAUGCAGGUCACAUGACCCCGGCUCACCUCAUCACUGUGUGGGACCCUUUGCAGCGUCAAACAUCUUCUUCCUGCCCUCCAUUCCAGACAUGGCCUCCACGUUCUUCCUCCAGUCACUGUCCUCUACUGGCCUCUUCUAUGAACGACAGAAUGGACGAAUGAUGAAUGGACAGAAGGAGAGAGUGUAAGAAACUCAAGGUGCUUUCUGGUGAAAAGACUCCUCCUCAUCUGCUUCCUGAGCCAGCAGUC